UACGGAGGGUGCGAGCGUUAAUCGGAAUUACUGGGCGUAAAGGGUGCGUAGGUGGUUUGAUAAGUUAUCUGUGAAAUACCUGGGCUUAACCUGGGCAGGUCAGAUAAGACUGUUGGACUAGAGUAUGGGAGAGGGUAGUGGAAUUUCCGGUGUAGCGGUGAAAUGCGUAGAGAUCGGAAGGAACACCAGUGGCGAAGGCGGCUACCUGGCCUAACACUGACACUGAGGCACGAAAGCGUGGGGAGCAAACAGG
rnacentral:rRNA from 1 species